rnacentral:misc_RNA from 1 species
GUGGUACCAUUCCAUCCAAAGUUGAAACCAUGAUCUAGUGCUGGUGUAAAGCAUGCAAACACUGUGCAUAUUCUUGGCUUGGAUGGGCCUAAACAACAGAAAGAGUUCAAUGAGAAGAAACUUGUGCAUGGCAAUGACCCAUCUUGUUGAUAAUUACAGGUUGAGAUGGCUUGCCUUGGUGUCAUAAAACUUGAGGAAGAA